CCAGCAGUCGGGUGAGAUCCAAGGUCUUCCGAUGCCGACGAGUGACGAACGGGUGCCCCUUACAGCGGAACGUGUCCUAUCGUGUGGGAUAACGAGGCUAUAGCUUUGCUCAUACCGCAUACGAUCUACGGAUGAGAGCCGGGGAUCUUCGGACCUCGCGCGGACGGAGCGGCCGAUGGCAGAUUAUGUAGUUGGUGGGAUAAAAGCUUACCAAGCCGACGAUCUGUAGCUCGACUGAGAGGAUGAUCAGCCACACUGUGACUGAGACACGGCCCACACUCCUACGGGAGGCACCACUGGGGAAUUUUGGACAAUGUGCGAAACCCUGAUCCGCCAUGCCGCGUGCAGCAUCAAGGCCUUCAGGAUGUAAACUGCUUUUGUACGCAACGAAGUGCGUCCUUCUCAUAAAUAGGGGUCAUGACUGUACCCUACGAAUCGCCCCGCCUAACUACGUGCCAGCAGCCGCGGUAAUACGUAGCGUGCAAACGUUAAUCCCAAUUACUGUGCGUAAAACUUGCGCAGGCAGCUAUCUCAGACAGAUGUAAAAUCCCCGGGCUCAACCUGGGACUGCCUUUGUGACUGCAUGGCUUGAGUGCGGCAUAGGUGAUGGAAUUCGCGUGUACACUGCAAUGCGUAGAUAUGCGGAGGACACCGAUAGCGCAGCAAUCCCCUGGCCUGCACUACGCUCUGCACAAAGCGUGAGGGCAAAAGGAUUAGAUA
rnacentral:rRNA from 1 species